AUCAGUACCGGGUACCGGAUGCGGAUGCGGACACGUGCGUGGCCCGCAAAUCUCUCGCAAAUCUCGACAAGUCCUGACUUGACGCGACCCCCAAAAUCACUGUUCAUAGUUUGCCGCUUGGAGUUCCCCCAACUGGCAUUUUAGUCUCACUCUCUGGGUGGGAAGGAUCCAUUCUUCCUUUUUUUUUUGUUGCACACCAUACUCCGGUCGCACGUGUGUGUUGUUUUGAGUGCGAGUUUUAGUUGCCAGCAAUUGCAGCUGCCAGUUUGCAAUUAAAGACUAAAGACCAGUCCCAUGCAAAUUCUAAAUGCUAAAUGCUAAAUGCCCAAUGGUAAAUGGCAAACAGUGAGGCAACCGAGGGGCGGUACAACCGAAUGGCGAAAUAUUAAAUACUAAAUGCCACCUGCCAAGGGAAAGCUGUUCAGCCCGCCUGUUGCCUUCGUCCGUCAAGCACUUCGUUGAAGUCACAGUCGCCAUCACCAUCAACAUCACCAUCAACAUCAUCGUCAGCAUCGCCGUCACCAAUCUCCCUCAGGUGUCCUGAUGUCCGGAGCCACCAUCCAGCCACUUUGAGUGUGAACAGUUAUUGGCAUGCCACGCCCCCGCAAAGCGUAGCAACAGGAGCAAGGAGCAAACGAGAAGGAGAAGGAGAAGGCGAAGGAGAGGGAGCA